UAGAUACCCUGGUAGUCCACGCCGUAAACGAUGUCUACUAGCCGUUGGGAGCCUUGAGAUCUUAGUGGCGCAGCUAACGCACUAAGUAGACCGCCUGGGGAGUACGGUCGCAAGAUUAAAACUCAAAUGAAUUGACGGGAGCCAGCACAAGCGGUGGAGCAUGUGGUUUAAUUCGACGCAACGCGAAGAACCUUACCAGGUCUUGACAUCUAGAGAACUUUCCAGAGAUGGAUUGGUGCCUUCGGGAACU
rnacentral:rRNA from 1 species